CAGCAAUAUCACAUUGAAACACCUGUUCUUGUACAAUCACCAAAGUUAAGCAACAUCGAGUCUGGUCAGUACUUAGAUGGGUGACUGUUUGGGAAUAUCAGGUGUUGUAAG